rnacentral:lncRNA from 1 species
ACAUAAUGGCCGAAGAGAUACGGUCCGCGUUCAUUGACGAGGUCAUGGCCAUCGAACGUGUCGACAACUGGACCAGGCAUAUUCUUACCCAAAAGUUCUUCCUUUAGCCUUCUACAACCUUUCCGUGCCAACGUCGCAAAAGGAAAGGAUGUUCCACAUUCCCCGCAUUGGCCCUCGACUCACCGACUGCCUCUUUAGAGCUACGUUUGCAACCAAUUUCUUCAUGCCAAACGACUACUAUUGGACAAAUUACGCUUCUUCAAACUUCGACGAGACAGCAAAAUGUUUUGGUGGACACUACAAGAAGAACCAGAAUGCUUCGAUGU